AAGAAUCUUGCAUUGAAUGCUCACUUAGAAUGUUAACUGUUUUAAACUGUAGAGCCUGUCUGGGUUUGGAUGUCAGGAACUCUGCCGAUGUUUUUGGUGCUGAGAGUCCAGUGUAUCUGCCCUCUCCCUGCUGUAGCAGCCCUUCAGACGGACACUGGUUCUGCAGUUGUCAUAAAGCACCUACUGGGUGCUCUGCAGUAUGUGAGAUGGCCACAAGCCUCUAAACCCAUGGGUGAAUGUCAUCCUAGGCACCUCAGUCCUCUAAGCGUCUCAUCUCUUGGACCACUCCCCAAAACCUCUAAGGUAAUCCUCACGGCUGUCCGUUCCAGAAAAGUAUUCGCCCCACUUGACAGCUGUGUUUACCAGCUAACAAGGCUGAAACUGGAUCCCCACCUCACUGAGGCAAGGCUGACUGACCCACCCACUUACCUACCUACCUGCCUGGGGCUGCAUAAAAUUAUCCCUAUCAGCUAGCUGCAGCUCCAAGUACUGACUUUCAACCCACCAGCUGAAUAACCCUGGGGGGAAUUUGGGCAAUUUAGUCCCCUCCCCUGCAACUCCCUAUCUAGCUAGGGGGCUAUUUCACAAAUUCGCUGAGCCUUUGGGCAAGGGGCUUAAUUCUUAAUUAAUUCUUAAUUCUUCUGGGCCUCAGUUUCCCCUAAGUCCUAAGUGAUCAGGGACCUAAAGCCAGUACUGCAUGAACAGUACUGGUACUGCUGAUGGGAGCUGCUGUUUUCUUCUAAUUACCGUUUUCUUCUCUCAUGUUCUCUCUGCUGCCUCCUUUCCAGGUAAGCUGUCUCCUUCAUAGUGCCCACUUUCCUAGUGAACGCGGACUGAUUAAUCAGGUACACUAGGGCUACCAGUCCACAAAUAUAAUAGUAACUAAUUACAAUGAUCUUUUACCAGCUUGUUGGGGGGCAGGGUCAGGGUCAGCUCCCCUCAUCCCUGUUGCAUACUCCCCUAAUCCCUCUUCCUCCUUGUCCAGGAUGCCCCCAGCUCUCACCCUUUCUCCUUUCCCCAUCACUCUCUCCAGCUCUGCUGGGCACCCUGCUAUAUCGCCUUCUAAACGUGUCUCCCCCACUGCACUGCUAAGGCUGCUAACUGGGUCUCGUGCAUCGGAAACCCCUAGGCCAGACCCAGAGGAGGAUCUGCAAAAGCCACUUAUGACGAUCUUUACAUCAGUCAAAGUCUUUGAAUCAGUAACAGUAGCUACCAUUUCAUGAAGGCCCCCGAGGACCUGGGCUUUUACACCACCACAGCCCCACUAAAAGCAAUAGCGUCCAACCUUUACACAAAAGAAAUCCAUGCUGGGAGAGGAUAGGAACCUGCCCAAGGCCACACACUGGGAAAGGGAGCAGCUGGAAUGCAAACCCUCUUCUUUUAUGCCCUUUACACCAAAGAGGGCUUCACACAGCAACUAUCUUACCUUUCCUCAAACGUGCCCAAACGUGUCUCAUCCAGAAGUCAUUGCACUUGCCUGUCUGAUAGUCUCUCCUAGCAUCUCCACCUGGUUCUCCUUCCCCAUCCAGCUCUCAGCUCAGAUGUCAUCAUCUCAGAGCUAUCUUCCUGCCCAGUUCUAAACUAGUAUUGCCCAUCCAUGCUUCUCCACUCCCUGAUAGAUAUCCUAUUGUUUCAUUUUUCUUCAUAGCACUGAUUGCCACCUUAAAGUAUAUGACUAAUUUCUCUCUCCACCUUCUCUAGAACAGCACUGCCCAGUGGAACUUUCUUUGGUGAAGGAAAUGUUCUAGAACUGCACUGUCCAACAUAGUAGCCAUUAGCUGCAGGUGACCAGUGAACAUUUGAAAGAUGGCCAGUACGACUAAGGAACUGACUGAUUAUGUCUCAAGCUUUCCACCCAAACCACACAUAUAGUAAUACUUUCUUGAAGAACACGGAGUGAGAAGGCGGAAGAUUUGAGUGCCAUCAAAUAUUUCUCCACGUUCCUUAUCUUCAUAGCAUCUUUUCAAAUUAGUGCCUUCUUGAAGAUGAAUACCUGUCUUCAGCAUUUAUCCAUUUUCCCUUCUACUUCAACCAAUGCCUAUGCUGCCAUUUUUACUGUUGUGGAGAGCUGAAGACACAUGCAAAAUGAGCUGCAUCAGAGAGGCCUAGCUUUCGUUCAGUUCCAGUUCUCUGCACUGAGGAGAGGCACAGCUACAUUAGUACUGGGAGAAAACGACCACUGCAGGAGAUGGUUCUCUUAAUAGUAAAGCUGGCCAUUCCAAACACCUAUGAUUCCCAUGUUUUUAUGCACUGCCUCGGGAGGUCGUCCACGCAGAUACAUUCAGCUGGCUUCACAAACCUCUACCUGGGUGUUUCUAAGUCCCCUCUGAUUCAUACUUCAUUAACAGAACCAGUCAAGACAUGGGAGAGUUCCAAAAACAUUUGAAUCUAGGUGAAAGCUAUUAGGUAGUUCUUUGUACUAGUCAACUAACUGUUUGCCUAAAAUUAUUUCAACAUAAAAAUAAAAACCAAAGAAAACCUCUGUUUCCACCCUUCAGAAGUCUCUGCCUUUGUCAGACUUACCACGUCACUGACUAAUGCCAAAAAUUCCAGAGUCAUAAUAUCGCUGUUCUUGUAUUUUUAAAAUGAAAUACUGAUACGUUAAAAAAAAAAUGUAUAUAGUAAAUACAUGUUACAAAGAAUUGUCACAGGAAAUCCCUUGAAGCUUUCGCCUAUGAGCAGUUCUUGGCAGUUUCCUUUCCUUUGCUCUCCUGGGUCAAUUACUCAACUACCCCCACUGAAUCCACCUACGAAUGGGGAGGAGCCAGCUUCUCCCCAACCCUGCUGCUACGCUCUCAGGCCAGGUAUUGCCACCUCUUCCCUAGCUGCUACCACAGCCUGCUGCCUGCUUCCGUCUGUGCCCUUCCAUCUUCACAGAGUGAGCUGUGAAAAGCACACCACACACGUACUCAACGAAAAUCAAACCCCCUUCACAGUGGAAGCCCUCUGUGCUCUGCCAAACUUAACUUGCAUGUCAGUACACCUCGGUUACCUCCUCCCAGCCCAGUGGGUGACUUUCCAUUCCCAGAAUGUGCCAAGCCUGCUCCAUUCUCAAGUGGUGUUUGUAUCUGGAAGCUCUUCCCCACCACUCUUACACGUCUGCUGACUUUUUCUUCAGGAAUCGGCUUAAAUCUCACCCCUGCAUUGUCACCUGACCAACUCCUCUAGAGUAAUUCCCCAUUGCUCCCUACUUUACACCAUGUUCUUUUUCUUCUCAGUACUUACCACUAUUUGUGUUUACACAGUUAUAUCUGUGUAGCUUGUCUGUAGAAGGCUGUCAUCUAUUAGACUAAGGAGUCUACAAUGGCAGGGAUUAUGUUAGGUCUUUGGCUUACUACCUAAGUGUACAGUUUUUUGUUUUUGUUUUUGCAUAGGGCACAAGAGGCCUCCCACAAAUAUUUGUGAAGUAAAGGGGAGGCAGUGGAGGAAAAAGAAAUCACAUAAAGGACUCUUUGUGACACAGCAGAAACGUGUUAAGCACCUAUCACCUCAGGCCUAGCCUAUAAAAACUGAUUUGAAUCACAGAAUCCAGCAGCAUGCUUGUCAAAACCCAGAGACUUGCCCUUUUAAGUCUAAGACCAGAUACUCAAAUCAUCACUCUCUUAGCCCAGUGUUUUGGAAGUACCAGAUAUGAUGAAUGCAAUUACAUGAUCGUGCAAAUGAAGUAAAAUAAUACAACUGCCUCCUCCUUUAUACUUGCCAGUAAGAUAACUUUGUACUGAGAAAAUUAGUGAGACUCUAACAAAACUGUUACAAAUAAUAAGAAUUUAGCAGCAUGACAGGUUCAUCUGCAACAACUACGCAAGACUGCAAGGGAUGAUUAACCUGAGCAGAUUAACAGCAACUACAGUGAACUCCCAGCAGCACUUGGAAGGCCUGACUAGCACAGUGAGGUGAGCAGAUCCCUCUGUACACCUGUGCCAAAACUCAACUGAGACCAGUUCUGCAUCAAGGAAUGUCUGAAUCCAAUCAAAUGUAAGACACAUUCUAACAAGAUUUUCUCAAUGAAUCCUGACAAGCUGAUGGUGAGUGUUCAUUUGGUUGAGAACAGAUAAUAGGUGUGUUGUUUUCUUUUUUUUCUUUUUUGCGGUACGCAGGCCUCUCACUGUUGUGGCCUCUCCCGUUGCGGAGCACAGGCUCCGGACGCGCAGGCUCAGCGGCCAUGGCUCACGGGCCUAGCCGCUCCGCGGCAUGUGGGAUCUUCCCGGACUGGGGCACGAACCCGUGUCCCCUGCAUCGGCAGGCGGACUCUCAACCACUGCGCCACCAAGGAAGCCCAGUUGUUUUCUUUUUUUCAAAUAAUGAGAGGAACUACCAUUUAUCCAAGUUUGUAAAGUUACAGAAAGUAUCAAUAUGGUGUUUACUCAGACACUGACAGAGACCAAGGGAGCAUAAGAGGCCAAGAAGGCCUGCACAUGAUGAUGACUAUGGAAAUUAAGUCUAUGAUAAAGAUGGUGUUUCCAAUAAUCAGAAGAACCAAGUCAGAAAACGGUGUUGAAAAAACUUGUGCCCCACAUCAUAUACACGAGGAAACAGCUAAAAACCCCCCACAGAAAUACCAGAAUUGACAAAAGUAUUUGUACAACUUGUCUAUGUAUGACAUGAAACCUAGAAUAGGAGUAAAGACAGAUUUGAAAGAAAAAAUAUCUGAAAUCAUAAAACUUCUUUAUGGAGACUAGAUAAAGGUAAAAGAUAAAUGUUGGACUGGUAUUUGCAGUAUUAACAUCCAUAACAUAUAGUAUAUAGAGUCC